rnacentral:rRNA from 1 species
UUAAGCGACUAAGCGUACACGGUGGAUGCCCUGGCAGUCAGAGGCGAUGAAGGACGUGCUAAUCUGCGAAAAGCGUCGGUAAGGUGAUAUGAACCGUUACAGCCGGCGAUGUCCGAAUGGGGAAACCCAGUGCAAUUCGUUGCACUAUCGUUAACUGAAUACAUAGGUUAACGAGGCGAACCGGGGGAACUGAAACAUCUAAGUACCCCGAGGAAAAGAAAUCAACCGAGAUUCCCCCAGUAGCGGCGAGCGAACGGGGAGCAGCCCAGAGUCUGAAUCAGCUUGUGUGUUAGUGGAACGGUCUGGAAAGUCCGACGGUACAGGGUGAUAGUCCCGUACACCAAAAUGCACAGGCUGUGAACUCGAAGAGUAGGGCGGGACACGUGGUAUCCUGUCUGAAUAUGGGGGGACCAUCCUCCAAGGCUAAAUACUCCUGACUGACCGAUAGUGAACCAGUACCGUGAGGGAAAGGCGAAAAGAACCCCGGCGAGGGGAGUGAAAAAGAACCUGAAACCGUGUACGUACAAGCAGUGGGAGCACCUUCGGGUGUGACUGCGUACCUUUUGUAUAAUGGGUCAGCGACUUAUAUUCUGUAGCAAGGUUAACCGUAUAGGGGAGCCGCAGGGAAACCGAGUCUUAACUGGGCGUUAAGUUGCAGGGUAUAGACCCGAAACCCGGUGAUCUAGCCAUGGGCAGGUUGAAGGUUGGGUAACACUAACUGGAGGACCGAACCGACUAAUGUUGAAAAAUUAGCGGAUGACUUGUGGCUGGGGGUGAAAGGCCAAUCAAACCGGGAGAUAGCUGGUUCUCCCCGAAAGCUAUUUAGGUAGCGCCUCGUGAAUUCAUCUUCGGGGGUAGAGCACUGUUUCGGCUAGGGGGUCAUCCCGACUUACCAACCCGAUGCAAACUACGAAUACCGAAGAAUGUUAUCACGGGAGACACACGGCGGGUGCUAACGUCCGUCGUGAAGAGGGAAACAACCCAGACCGCCAGCUAAGGUCCCAAAGUCAUGGUUAAGUGGGAAACGAUGUGGGAAGGCACAGACAGCCAGGAUGUUGGCUUAGAAGCAGUCAUCAUUUAAAGAAAGCGUAAUAGCUCACUGGUCGAGUCGGCCUGCGCGGAAGAUGUAACGGGGCUAAACCAUGCACCGAAGCUGCGGCAGCGACACUAUGUGUUGUUGGGUAGGGGAGCGUUCUGUAAGCCUGCGAAGGUGACCUGUGAGGGUUGCUGGAGGUAUCAGAAGUGCGAAUGCUGACAUAAGUAACGAUAAAGCGGGUGAAAAGCCCGCUCGCCGGAAGACCAAGGGUUCCUGUCCAACGUUAAUCGGGGCAGGGUGAGUCGACCCCUAAGGCGAGGCCGAAAGGCGUAGUCGAUGGGAAACAGGUUAAUAUUCCUGUACUUGGUGUUACUGCGAAGGGGGGACGGAGAAGGCUAUGUUAGCCGGGCGACGGUUGUCCCGGUUUAAGCAUGUAGGCUGGUUGUCCAGGCAAAUCCGGAUAAUCAAGGCUGAGGUGUGAUGACGAGGCACUACGGUGCUGAAGUAACAAAUGCCCUGCUUCCAGGAAAAGCCUCUAAGCAUCAGGUAACAUUAAAUCGUACCCCAAACCGACACAGGUGGUCAGGUAGAGAAUACCAAGGCGCUUGAGAGAACUCGGGUGAAGGAACUAGGCAAAAUGGUGCCGUAACUUCGGGAGAAGGCACGCUGGUGUGUAGGUGAAGUCCCUGCGGAUGGAGCUGAGACCAGUCGAAGAUACCAGCUGGCUGCAACUGUUUAUUAAAAACACAGCACUGUGCAAACACGAAAGUGGACGUAUACGGUGUGACGCCUGCCCGGUGCCGGAAGGUUAAUUGAUGGGGUUAUCCGUAAGGAGAAGCUCUUGAUCGAAGCCCCGGUAAACGGCGGCCGUAACUAUAACGGUCCUAAGGUAGCGAAAUUCCUUGUCGGGUAAGUUCCGACCUGCACGAAUGGCGUAAUGAUGGCCAGGCUGUCUCCACCCGAGACUCAGUGAAAUUGAACUCGCUGUGAAGAUGCAGUGUACCCGCGGCAAGACGGAAAGACCCCGUGAACCUUUACUAUAGCUUGACACUGAACAUUGAGCCUUGAUGUGUAGGAUAGGUGGGAGGCUUUGAAGCGUGGACGCCAGUCUGCGUGGAGCCAACCUUGAAAUACCACCCUUUAAUGUUUGAUGUUCUAACGUUGGCCCCUUACCGGGGUUGCGGACAGUGUCUGGUGGGUAGUUUGACUGGGGCGGUCUCCUCCCAAAGCGUAACGGAGGAGCACGAAGGUUAGCUAAUCCUGGUCGGACAUCAGGAGGUUAGUGCAAUGGCAUAAGCUAGCUUGACUGCGAGCGUGACGGCGCGAGCAGGUGCGAAAGCAGGUCAUAGUGAUCCGGUGGUUCUGAAUGGAAGGGCCAUCGCUCAACGGAUAAAAGGUACUCCGGGGAUAACAGGCUGAUACCGCCCAAGAGUUCAUAUCGACGGCGGUGUUUGGCACCUCGAUGUCGGCUCAUCACAUCCUGGGGCUGAAGUAGGUCCCAAGGGUAUGGCUGUUCGCCAUUUAAAGUGGUACGCGAGCUGGGUUUAGAACGUCGUGAGACAGUUCGGUCCCUAUCUGCCGUGGGCGCUGGAGAAUUGAGGGGGGCUGCUCCUAGUACGAGAGGACCGGAGUGGACGCAUCACUGGUGUUCGGGUUGUCAUGCCAAUGGCACUGCCCGGUAGCUAAAUGCGGAAGAGAUAAGUGCUGAAAGCAUCUAAGCACGAAACUUGCCCCGAGAUGAGUUCUCCCUGAGACUUUAAGUCUCCUGAAGGAACGUUAAAGACGAUGACGUUGAUAGGCCGGGUGUGUAAGCGCAGCGAUGCGUUGAGCUAACCGGUACUAAUGAACCGUGAGGCUUAACCUU